UGGGCAACCUGCCCUCAGCUCUGGGAUAACCCCGGGAAACCGGGGCUAAUACCGGAUACGACCUCCGCGGGCAUCUGCGAAGGUGGAAAGGUUUUCCGGCUGAGGAUGGGCCCGCGGCCUAUCAGCUAGUUGGUGGGGUGAUGGCCCACCAAGGCGACGACGGGUAGCCGGCCUGAGAGGGUGACCGGCCACACUGGGACUGAGACACGGCCCAGACUCCUACGGGAGGCA
rnacentral:rRNA from 1 species